rnacentral:rRNA from 1 species
UACGAAGGAGGCUAGCGUUGUUCGGAUUUACUGGGCGUAAAGCGCACGUAGGCGGAUUGUUAAGUCAGGGGUGAAAUCCUGGAGCUCAACUCCAGAACUGCCUCUGAUACUGGCAAUCUUGAGUCCGGAAGAGGUGAGUGGAACUCCUAGUGUAGAGGUGGAAUUCGUAGAUAUUAGGAAGAACACCAGUGGCGAAGGCGGCUCACUGGUCCGGUACUGACGCUGAGGUGCGAAAGCGUGGGGAGCAAACAGG